rnacentral:tRNA from 1 species
GAAAAUAUAGCUCAGUGGUAGAGUGUGUGCUUAGCAGGCAUGAGGUUCUGGAUUCAAUCCCCAGUACCGCCA